AUUCUUUUAAUAAAGGUUUAGAAUUAGCGCUACAAAUUAGAGGUUUAAAUCAUUAUCACAAAAAACAUUUUUCUAGUAACCCCGUAACGACUGACAUGGAAGGUACCAGAUAAUCUGGGAUACUAAACUUCCAUUACAUGUUGGCUCCCCCGAUCAAAUCGGGGGAUGAAGAUAUAGUCUGAUACUCCGAGGGAUCGGAGAAAACAUUUAUGACGGCCCAUACACCUACGGGUGGCAGCAACCGGGAAUAUUCGACAAUGGACGAAAGUCUGAUCGAGCGACGCCGCGUGGAGGAUGAAGGCCCUCGGGUUGUAAACUCCUUUUAUCUGGGAAGAUUAUGACGGUACCAGAUGAAUAAGCACUUGCUAACUACGUGCCAGAAGCCUCGGUAAUGCGUAGAGUGCAAACGUUAUCCGGAUUUAUUGGGCGUAAAGAGUUGCGUAGGCUGAUCCGUGCAUUUUGUUUGAAAUGCUCUGACUUAAUCAGGGAUUUGGACAAAAUAUGGCGGAUCUUGAUGGUUGGAGAGGGUGCUGGAACCUGAGGUGUAGCAGUGAAAUGCGUUGAUAUCUCAGGGAACACCAAAGGCGUAGGCAGGCACCUAGACAACACAUGACGCGUUAAGCAGAGCGCCUGGGGAGUACGAGCGCAAGCUUAAAACUCAAAGGAAUUGACGGGGACCCGCACAAGCAGUGGAGCGUGUUGUUUAAUUCGAUACGAAACGAAAAACCUCACCAGGGCUUGACAUGCUAGCGUUCUAUUCCCAGGAAACUGGGGAAAUGCGUAAGCAGGCUAGCACAGAUGCUGCAUGGCUGUCGUCAGCUCGUGGCGUGAGCUGUUCCAUUAAGUUGGGAAACGAGCGCAACCCUCACCGUAUGUUAAAUAAUUCAUGCGGAACAGCCCCGAUUUUUCGGGGAGGAAGGCGAGGAUGACGUCAAGUCAGCACGGUUCUUACGCCCUGGGCCACAAACACACUACAAUGGCGAAAAACAACGAGUUGCAAGCUAGCAAUAGCAAGCUAAUCUCUGAAAUUUCGCCUCAGUUCAGAUUGGGGUCUGCAACCCGACCCCAUGAAGUCGGAAUUGCUAGUAAUCGCGGAUCAGCAUGCCGCGGUGAAUACGUUCUCGGGUCUUGUACACACCGCCUAUAGUAUUUAAUAUAAUGCUAUAUAAAACGCGCAUGGCAGCGUAAAUAACUAGUUGGUUAAAAUCCAACCUAUAACUCAUAGUAG
rnacentral:rRNA from 1 species